rnacentral:rRNA from 1 species
UUCGGGAAGGCUGCCAGUAUGGGAAUCUUUUCAACAAUGGGGCGCCAAGCCUGAUCGAAGCAACGCCUGCGUGAGAGAAGAAAGGCUUUCGGGUCGUAAAGCACUGUUGUAUGGGAAGAAAUGCUAAAAUAGGGAAUGAUUUUAGUUUGACGGUACCAUACCAGAAAGGGACGGCUAAAUACGUGCCAGCAGCCGUGGUAAUACGUAUGUCCCGAGCGUUAUCCGGAUUUAUUGGGCGUAAAGCGAGCGCAGACGGUUGAUUAAGUCUGAUGUGACAGCCCGGAGCUCAACUCCGGAAUGGCAUUGGAAACUGGUUAACUUGAGUGUUGUAGAGGUAAGUGGAACUCCAUGUGUAGCGGUGGAAUGCGUAGAUAUAUGGAAGAACACCAGUGGUGAAGGCGGCUUACUGGACAACAACUGACGUUGAGGCUCGAAAGUGUGGGUAGCAAACAGGAUUAGAUACCCUGGUAGUCCACACCGUAAACGAUGAAUACUAGGUGUUAGGAGGUUUCCGCCUCUUAGUGCCGAAGCUAACGCAUUAAGUAUUCCGCCUGGGGAGUACGACCGCAAGGUUGAAACUCAAAGGAAUUGACGGGGACCCGCACAAGCGGUGGAGCAUGUGGUUUAAUUCGAAGCAACGCGAAGAACCUUACCAGGUCUUGACAUCCUUUGAAGCUUUUAGAGAUAGAAGUGUUCUCUUCGGAGACAAAGUGACAGGUGGUGCAUGGUCGUCGUCAGCUCGUGUCGUGAGAUGUUGGGUUAAGUCCCGCAACGAGCGCAACCCUUAUUGUUAGUUGCCAGCAUUCAGUUGGGCACUCUAGCGAGACUGCCGGUGACAAACCGGAGGAAGGCGGGGACGACGUCAGAUCAUCAUGCCCCUUAUGACCUGGGCUACACACGUGCUACAAUGGCGUAUACAACGAGUUGCCAACCUGCGAAGGUGAGCUAAUCUCUUAAAGUACGUCUCAGUUCGGACUGCAGUCUGCAACUCGACUGCACGAAGUCCGGAAUCGCUAGUAAUCGCGGAUCAGCACGCCGCCCCAAGGGCCCA